GGCGGGAGCGGGGCGGGCGGCCCGUGAGGGGAAGGGGCGCGAGGGGCCGAUCCCUGUGAGGUGAAGGGGCCUGGGGGCCCCUGCCCGCUGUGGUGAAGGGGCCUGGGGGCCCCUGCCCGCUGUGGUGAAGGGGCCUGGGGGCCUCUGCCCGCUGUGGUGAAGGGACUCGGGGGUGCCGGCCCGUGAGGGGAGGAGGUUGGUGGAGUUGGCCCAUGAGGGGAAGGGGUUCCAGCACCGUCCUGUUCGUGCUGAGGCGCUGCUUCCGAGGGAGAUGGGGGCACCUUCUGUGUGGGGGCUGUGUGGAAAUGGCGGGCGUUACCCCACAGGUCCCUCUCUCUGGGAGGGAGUGGAGCAGACCUCAGCUGUAGAACGGGCCCUGUGAGCAGCAGCAGCACCAGCCCUCGGUGGGUGCUUGCCGUCCCUUACCGCAGCAGUCCUGUGCUCUCCAGCAGACUGUGAGUGAGAAAUAGCCUUCCUAUCUUCCUGCAAGCUGUGCCCUGGGAAAACUGAACUCUUCCCACCUCCCUUGUGCAAGGAGCCAGGUGAAGGCUGCUUCAGGAACUCGGGGCAGGCAGCAAAAAGCAGUUGUUUGAUCAGGGUAACAGUAAUGCCCCUUCUGGAACAGCAGUGAGCCUUCUGUGGCUGGGAUCGUGGCUCACAGGAUGUGAGUGCCAGGGCAUUAAUGAGGGUGUGCCUUUUGUGAGAUGAUGGAAACUGUGAAGACUGCUAUUGCUGCCUUCCUCAGCAAACCACCCUUCAGAGCAGGAGCAAUUCCAUUCCAUGAGUCUGUACCUUCUCCAUGGUUACAGCUGUAAUGUUAGAGGGAUGUAUCCCAGCGCUGUUCCGAAGCUGACUCUGCCUCUGAGACCCUGCGGUGCCCCUGGUGCUGGACGCAGUGAAAUAAAAGCUUUGUGCCAUCUACUGGUGCCGCUGGGAGCUGCGACGGACUCGAGCCUGCAGUGGGGGGAGAGAAAGUACCUCGCUGGAGAUAACGAGAAUGCUGUUUAUUUUUUAAUGUCUGUAGGUCAGUCAUGUUUUAACAGAGUGCAACAGUCCAGGCUGAUGGUGAAUGUGAGCACGGUAAAUGCCCCAAACAAUCAUCUUUGCUUUUUUUGUGACUGAUUGUUACGCCUGGGAAAACAAGCUGCAUGGUAGAACUGGCAGAAGUCCCACAGUUUCCAUAUACCAUGUGUACCUGUAUCUGUGAGGUUUUUAUACAAAUCCCAUGCUUUAUGGGCUUGUGUCCACGCAGAGCACAGUUGGCUUGCUUUUGUUCCCAACACAGGCUCUGUUGUUCCUGGUUGAAGUCAACGAGUGCUCUGAGUGCACACAAAAAAUGCAACCCAGUGAGGCUUCCACCUGCCCAGUCCUCAAGGAAAUGUCAGCAGCCACUGAUGGGAAGAGGCUUCCUAAUUCAGAGUGAGCCCUGUUUCCCUCUGCAGGGCCUGUUCCAGUGGGGGAUGUGUAUUUUUAAUUAUCUGCUGUCCUUAUUUAAAGAGAUUUGUCCCUGCAUGGUAUAAAUGUACCUCUGCUGGUUCCUUGGGAUAUUCUUGUCUCCAUUUUAACCAGCUCCUCGUUUGGAGUGCUUUCCUGAAGUCCAGACUGAUGAGAAAAGUGAUUCUUCUAAAUACAGAAAAGCUAUGCACUUUAUGCUCAGAAAUAUCCAAGAGGAAAAAAAGGGAUUACUUGGAAAUUCAAAUGAAAGAAAGGGAUCCCCAUGCUGGAAUGAACUCCAGGCUCCCCUGCCUGGGAAGCAUUUGCCAGAGCUGCUGAUGUGAUUAAGCAGCUGGGAGGAACUCCAGUGCAGCAGUCAUCUGAUCUUCCCUCCCCUUCUGCAUCCACUAAUCCUCACCAAAAUGGCUGGAAAGAACUUCUCUUGUUCUCUGGAGCGUUUUCCUGAGAUUAUUACUACUGCUUCAGCAAGCUCAGGGGAGUUACUGGAUGCUCAGAAGGAGUUUUUGGUCUCAACUUGACAAACCUUGGACCCUGUUGAACAGUCAGAUCCUGAGAACUGUGAAAAGGACCCAAGAUCCUGAGAACUGUGAAAAGGACCCAAGAUCCUGAGAACUGUGAAAAGGACCCAAGAUCCUGAGAGCUGUGAAAAGGA